GUUGAACUUUUGAAUAUCCUUUUAUUUCCCUCAGGGUCAAAAGGCUCAUGAAUCUGUAUUAAAAUGCUCAACCUCUACAGAAUCCAGUACUAGAUUAAUGGACUAGGAGAGCUCAACUCUGCAGCUUGUUGUACGAGCCUGUGAGGAUAGCCAUGGUGGAAAGUACAGUGGACUUUCAGAUUCUUAUCUAUUUGUACUAAAGGUAUUG